UUGGGGGCGGGGCUUGGGUGUCUGUGUCCCGCGUUCCGGCGCUUCCGCCUGGUGCGCGGGACGAGUUUGUCGCCGGAGCUGGACGCCUGGUCCCGGUGGCAGCCCAGGUCCGCCGGGGACGCAGAAGGGAAUGUUCUCGUUUAACAGUGGUCUUGUUUCUGUGUCACUUUGUAAUGAAAGUUGGAAGGUCAUUUCCUUGCCUUUAAAUGUGUCUCCUGCCUCUGCUUUUAGGUGAUGCCACUUAGGACGUCUGCCGGCGGCUGUCGCCGUCAUACACAGACACCUUGGGUGUUUCUCUGAGGGUCUGGAGGGACUGCUCAUGUAAAAAUGCUGGUUUAGACUUUUUUUUUCUUUUUUCCGUUGCGCCGCGGAAGGCGGCUUGGGUGGACAGUCCUGCAGGAGUCUGUCCUCCUCCACUCCAGCAGGACGCGAAGGGCAUGUCCCCCGACUCAGGAGCACCCCCCGCACUUACCAGUGACAAAGGGGAAAAGAAAUGUUGUGGUGGCCCCCCGUCACCCAGGGGGCAAAGUUAACAUCGCUAAUAAUGACAGCGACAUCACAGACCUGCUGGGACAUGCUGAGGGGGCACGGCACCCCGUGGGACUCCUGCUAAAAUCGCGUGCUUACCACUGGACAGAUGUGAAUCAAAGGACAUUCUACAAAAUAACUGACAGGCUCCAGGAGUGUGUCACAUAACAGAGAGAAACCAUCACAGAAUGAGACCUAACAAAAGGGGACACACUGCAGGAUCCUUGUGGGAGGGACACAGGAGGAAGAGCUGUUCAAAGUCUGAUGCAGUCUGUAGGGUGGUGGACGGGACAGGUAGAUGGUCACCCCCUGGCCUCAGGCACCCCACUCUCUGCAGCUCCUGAAGAAGCUGCCCCUAGGCGAAGCUGGACUGAGCUGUUAGGGGGCUCCGGACAAUUUUUGCAACUUAUCUUAGAGCCUGAAAUUACUUCAGAAUUAACAAUGAAAAAGAAAAAACCCACCUUUAAGAGUUGACAAGAGGGUUAAGUGAGGGAAUGCGGGUGGAAUUCCUCUCCCAGACUGGGAGAGCUCUAGUAGCCACUACAGACAGAUGCCCAUUAGGAAAGGCCAGGCUUUCCCGGCGGCUCGGGAGGCAGACAGGAGCGUUGCAAGUUCAAAGCCAGCCUCAACAACAGCGAGGCACUAAGCAACUGAGACCUUGUCUCUAAAUAAAAUGUCCAAUAGGGCUGGGGAUGUGACUCAGUGGUUGUGUGCCCCUGAGUUCAAUCCCUGGUACCCCCUCCCCCCACCAAAAAAAGAAAAAAAAAAACCUCUAGGCUUUCAUAUUGGUCUAGAAACAUUAAAACAAUUUUUUUUUCCAUUUGUACAGGGAUAAUGCAGUCUACUAAAUAUGUAAUGUCGAUGUGGGUUUGAUUACAGAAGCUGGUGAAGUAUUCUAAUGGUUUUUUAAGAUUCAUUGGCUGAGCUUCUUACCAUUACAACACACAGAGAUUGACAUAUGUAUGACAACGGACUGAUUUCCUUCAAAUAUAAAGAGCACCUACAAAUCAAUGAGACCCACAGGUCAAAUAAAGGUGGACAAAGGACAGAAACAAAUGACUACUAGAAAACGGAUGUUUUAAAAUAUGAAAAGAUCACCACAGGAAAGAACAAUGGAGUCUUACCUAGAGGUGCCACUCGUAAGACUGGCAAAGAUGAUGCCAUUUGGUAACACAUUGUACUGGGAGCAGAACAGAGAAGCAGGCACGCUCUGCACCUCUCUUGGGGGGAGGGUACUUUGAGGGGUUCUCUUUGGGAGGCAGUUUGGUAAUAGUCUUCAGAUUUAUGUGAAUGUGCCUUCUUGCCUGUGGUGCUGGGCUGGGCCCGAGGCAAGCUGUCCCCCUGAGCCACAGCCCAGCCCUUAUUUUUUGAGACAGGAUGUCAUCAAGUUGCCGAGGCUGACCUCGAAACUGCCUCGGCCUGAGUUUUUGGUUUCUAGUUCAUUUUUUAGAAUUGGGCUUCCCAAAGGACGGAGAGAGGGCCGGGGCAGGCAGUCUGGCCCAGCACUGCAAACCUCAAUGCCCAAGCCGCCCCACCAAGGCCUCCCUGGGUCUUAGCUGUUGGGACAGAAACGCAGAGGGCAUGGAUCUUCCCGCCUGGCCCUUGUGAUCCUGUGGACAAGGACAGGCACCAGAGGGGGCGAGCAUGGCGCCAGCAGGGAGCAGCUGGCCUCUGGCCCCUUGCAGGCAGGAGGCUCUUGCCAGGCCCGGCCCCAACUGCCCUGCUGAGGCUGUGGCAGUGGCCCCGCCCUCCCGCUCAGGCCUCAGCAGGCGGCAAGGCUUCCGUGUGGGACUGUUUAAUGAGUCUACUUCUCACACACAUAAUUAUAAAAGAAUAAGAAUCGACAAAAAUAUUUUCUUUCCUUAAUA